UUAGAACCAAUUCCCAAGAGGACGGGCUUACCGGUUUUUAAGGGCACUUGAUUCCGUGUACCCCUCUUUCAUGCCCAUGCCUCUUCCUUCUUUUGGCUUCCUAGGAACGGUAUAGUCCUUUGUACUCUUUCUGCCCCUUAGCGUGCGUGUGCCAGGCCCAGCAAGUGUGAUGUCAGAUGUCUGUUCUCCUCUCCCUGUCCUGUGGUCUCAGCCUGCACCAGGCUCACCUGUCAUAUCCUGCCUCCCACCAGCCUUUCUCAGUCCUUCCCCUAGGCUCUGAAACGCACAGCAGGAUUUUGGUCUGGUCCUUCAUUUCCUGGUAACCACGUCAGUUCCUCAGCUACAUGUUAGGCCUCCCUUCCUCACUGACCCAUAGGCUCCAGUGCUCAAGUGUUUUCAGUCUUUCAAGUUUCCCAUCUACUGUCUCUUUAGGGAAAAGUUAUUAAUUAUUUUUCACUGUAAUAACUGUGGUAAAAUCGCUAAUUUAUCUAUAUUUCUGGAAUGUUGACAGCUCCUUUGUGGUGGAACGACAGCCGUGCAUGCCAACUCACCCUCAGAGGCCCCUGGUCUUGAAGACUGGGGUACAGUUCACUGUGAAGCUGAGACUGUUGGUGAAAUUGCAAGAACUGAACUAUAACUUGAAAGUGAAAGUCUCAUUUGACAAAGAUGUGAACGAGAAAAACACAGUGAAAGGAUUCCGGAAGUUCAACAUCUUGGGUACUCACACAAAAGUGAUGAACAUGGAAGAAUCCACCAACGGAAGUUUGGCAGCUGAGUUCCGACAC
rnacentral:lncRNA from 1 species